AUGAUAAAAGAAAAAAGGUAAAUAUCUGAGGGUGUGUGUUUGUGUGUGUGUGUGGCUUAGCUGUAAAUGUUCUUGGCAGGUUGUCUGCUCUCCUGUCUCCUCCGGCCCACAUCGGUUCACUCCUCAGUACCACCUUUUUUAUUCUCAGUCACUUGUCAUCUGUCUGUCGGAUCUCUUCUCAAUCAGCAUUACUUCUUUGGUGUUUGUAAAGUUGUGUGUUGGCCUCCGUUUCACCUUUCUCUGAAAGGUAAUCCGUAAAGCACACAGGCACAAUGCACAAAAGUAUUUGCUGAUGAACAAACUCAUUGUCCACUUCUUUUCUCCCCCAGGGUCUGCACCCAAUGGGACCCCCUUAAAAAAAACAAAGUUGUCGGGGUCUGUGAGUUUGCUGUGUAUUUGUGUUUGCCUGCUAUUUACUCUGCUUGGUCACUAGAUGGUUGGAGUUCACAGGUGCAUAGGGGACAGGUGCUUCGCAUUGACCAAUUACCUGGAGGUGUAUUUAGGCUGGAAGCUGUCAGCACUUCAAUGCCUGAGUAUUAGCCACCAGUGGUAACAAACUAUUGCUCUAGUUUUUGCUUUCCUGCUUCUUCCAGUACUCUGAGUAAUUCAAGUGUGUCCUCCUCCUCAGGUUGUUUCCAGAGCUGGCUGAGUUCAAACUGGUUUCCAGACUCUAUAGAGGGUUCUCUGACUUCUGGAUAAGGGUUUCCAGUUAUCUCCUUUGGAUCAAGUUCAAGCUGGCAUCUUCCUGGCUCUGCGACCAUCCGGCUCAAGUCACAAGCGAACCCUGUCCACCCUCAAACCAGUUCUCAUGCAAGUACCUCCAACCUGUGUAACACACCAUCAUUCCACUGUCAUCACACAGUCCUGGAUUAGAGCUCUUAAGGAUCUACCUUUGUGUGGCUAACCCCUGGAAAGAUCUACCUCCACAGAAGUGCUCCUGUGUUGCGCUCUCAGACCCCCCAUAUCUCAUCCCUCUGGCGGUUCAUCUUCCUUCCCCAUUGGUAAAUUAACCGGUCCUGGAUCUCAAACCCAUAUCACUCCUGUGAAAAUAAAACUUUUAAAGUUUC